UACAGAGGUCCCAAGCGUUGUUCGGAUUCAUUGGGCGUAAAGGGUGCGUAGGCGGCGCGGUAAGUCGGGUGUGAAAUCUCGGAGCUUAACUCCGAAACUGCAUUCGAUACUGCCGUGCUUGAGGACUGGAGAGGAGACUGGAAUUUACGGUGUAGCGGUGAAAUGCGUAGAUAUCGGGAGGAACACCUGUGGCGAAAGCGGCGCACUGGACCAUAACUGACGCUGAGGCGCGAAAGCUAGGGGAGCAAACAGG
rnacentral:rRNA from 1 species